rnacentral:rRNA from 1 species
CCUACGGGAGGCAGCAGUGGGGAAUAUUGCACAAUGGGGGAAACCCUGAUGCAGCGACGCCGCGUGAGUGAAGAAGUAUUUCGGUAUGUAAAGCUCUAUCAGCAGGGAAGAAAAUGACGGUACCUGAUUAAGAAGCCCCGGCUAACUACGUGCCAGCAGCCGCGGUAAGACGUAGGGGGCACGCGUUAUCCGGAUUUACUGGGUGUAAAGGGAGCGUAGACGGCAGCACAAGUCUGGAGGGAAAUGCCCGGGCUUAACCCCUGAACUGCUUUGGAAACUGUGCAGCUAGAGUGCAGGAGAGGUAAGUGGAAUGCCUAGUGUAGCGGUGAAAUGCAUAGAUAUUAGGAGGAACACCAGUUGCGAAGGCGGCUUACUGGACUGUAACUGACGUUGAGGCUCGAAAGCGUGGGGAGCAAACAGGAUUAGAUACCCUGGUAGUC